ACCGCCAGAAUCUUGGCGAUGUAUGGGAUCAGCGGCAGGUUCAGGAUCAGCAGAAUCAGGUUGCCCAGAUACAUCGAAAUGAUGACUGCCCAAAAGAUCUGCGGAUCGUCCACCAUCAGCCGUGGCCC
rnacentral:ncRNA from 16 species